rnacentral:rRNA from 1 species
UAUUUGAUAGAUAUUCAAUUUUGAGUAGGUAUUACUCAGAGUUAAGUGACGAUAGCCUAGGAGAUACACCUGUACCCAUGCCGAACACAGCAGUUAAGCCCUAGAACGCCGGAAGUAGUUGGGGGUUGCCCCCUGUGAGAUAUGGAAGUCGCUUAGC